ensembl:snRNA U6 U6 spliceosomal RNA
GUGCUCACUUCAACAGCAUAUAUACUAAAAUUGAAAUGAUACAGAGAAGAUUAGCAUGGCCCGGUGCAAGGAGGACACACACAUUUGUGAAGCGUUUCAUAUUUGU